UAAGUGACACAGUGAAGAUGUUCUAUAAAACCAUUGUCUGCCAUGUCUACAAAGCCACAGCACAAACUGAUCCUCAGUCCAGUACCUACCUAAACCCUAAUCAAAAUUAAGAUGAGAAUUUUUGUAAGAUACAAAGGAGUUCCAGUUUCUGAUGUGCAGUUAAGGAAACUAUUCAGUCGAUUUGACAAGAACAAAGACAAUCGUCUGAGCAGGGAAGAGAUAAGUGAAGCUUUCAGUGAACUUGGUGGAUUUUUCCCUGAUUAUAGAGCCGGCCGUGUGCUCACCCAUUAUGAUACUAAUGAGGAUGGCUUCAUCGACUUAGGAGAAUGCACAAAUUGUUGGUCUGAAACGCUUGGCUUAACUUCUGAAGUGCUGGUGUUAAAGAGUACGUUCAAAUUGUUCAUCUGAAAAAUCUGGGUGGGUGACACAUGCAUUAUUUGAUUUGUUGAACAAAUUGUUCAACUCUCAAGUCUGCAUGAAGCUCUUUUAAUUUCUCCAUAACGCAGCUAAUUUGCUUAUUCAAUCUUGGAUUAUUAACUUCUUUAUCACUGAGGAUAUAUAGCAUGUAGUUUUUUCAUCAGAAGCUGCACAACUGAUACCGAAGCCAUGUUCUCCACUUCUUCAGAAGCCAAAUUCACAACGUGGUUAAGCUUUUGAAGUGACUGGCACUAUUUUUGGAGAACUUUUGCACUGCAAUGUACAAAAUUGCAGAGCAAAGUAGGAAGCAACAAGAUUAAUUCAUGUGGAUGAGUUUUGAGCAACGACUCGUUCAAUAUUAAAAUUUUACUAGUUUGUAAAACCAUGCUAUGGCUAUUGUUGUAGUUAUUAUAAAAAAUGUUAAUUAAUUAAAUUUGAACUAUAAAAUAAUUUGAAUAUUCUCUCACAC